rnacentral:rRNA from 1 species
UACGUAGGGUGCAAGCGUUGUCCGGAAUUAUUGGGCGUAAAGAGCUCGUAGGCGGUUUGUCGCGUCUGCUGUGAAAACUCGGGGCUUAACCCCGGGCCUGCAGUGGGUACGGACAGACUAGAGUGCGGUAGGGGAGACUGGAAUUCCUGGUGUAGCGGUGAAAUGCGCAGAUAUCAGGAGGAACACCGGUGGCGAAGGCGGGUCUCUGGGCCGUAACUGACGCUGAGGAGCGAAAGCGUGGGGAGCGAACAGG